rnacentral:tRNA from 1 species
GUCCCUAUAGCUCAAUGGAUAGAGCGCAGGCCUCCGGAGCCUGAAAUAAAGGUUCGACUCCUUUUAGGGGCG